rnacentral:rRNA from 1 species
GACGAACCACACAAACGUUAUUCGGAAUUACUGGGCUUAAAGGGUGCGUAGGCGGCGCGGAAAGUAGGGUGUGAAAUCCCUCGGCUCAACCGAGGAAUUGCGCCCUAAACUACCGUGCUCGAGGGAGAUAGAGGUGAGCGGAACUUAGGGUGGAGCGGUGAAAUGCGUUGAUAUCCUAAGGAACAUCCGUGGCGAAGGCGACUACCUGGACCAGCACUGACACUGAGGCACGAAAGCGUGGGGAGCAAACAGG